rnacentral:tRNA from 4 species
AGGAGUGUAGCUCAACUGGUAGAGCACCGGUCUCCAAAACCGGGGGUUGGGGGUUCGAUCCCCUCCACUCCUGCCA